AAGUCGUAACAAGGUUUCCGUAGGUGAACCUGCGGAAGGAUCAUUACCUUUCAAUGCAGCAGAAUGGGGAUGGUUGAGUUUCUCGCCUCUCUGUUCUGCCUGUAUUCUACCCUUGUUUGUCAUAUACUAUUAUUUCCUCGGCAGGCUUGCUUGCCGAGUGAAACCAAUUAUAACCUAUUUAAUUUUCAAUCAGCGUCUGAACAAAAUUAAUAAUUACAACUUUCAACAACGGAUCUCUUGGUUCUGGCAUCGAUGAAGAACGCAGCGAAAUGCGAUAAGUAGUGUGAAUUGCAGAAUUCAGUGAAUCAUCGAAUCUUUGAACGCACAUUGCGCCCCUUGGUAUUCCAUGGGGCAUGCCUGUUCGAGCGUCAUUUGUACCUUCAAGCUUUGCUUGGUGUUGGGUGUUUGUCCUGAGGGACUCGCCUUAAAGUAAUUGGCAGCCAGUGUUUGGUUUUGAAGCGCAGCACAAGUCGCGAUUCAAAGCUAUACGCCCGCUUCCACAAGCCUUUUUCACUUUUGACCUCGGAUCAGGUAGGGAUACCCGCUGAACUUAA
rnacentral:rRNA from 1 species